UAUAUUGAUUCACUGAGGUAAUUUUACAAAUUUUUAUUUUGUGAAAGUGUCAUUUUCCCUUGCUGCUUCUUACUGCAGAAUAGGCCUAAAAACUGUUCAUCCAGGAAAAAAAUAAUAUACAAAUACUUACGCGAGAAGGUGUUUUUAAACACAAUUUGUCUUUCUAAUUUUUUAUCCACAGCUCCAAAAAGAGGAAUUAGAUGGCACAGACUUUCAAGCUUCUAAGUUGAAGUGAAUGUGACCUUUUUUCCAUUAGGUUAUGUAGACUAGGCUUCUAAAUCUUUCUGCUAUUCAAGCCCCCAGAAUACAUCAUUCGAAGGUCCUGAAGACACCAGCUAGUUCCUUUGAACUUGAGUCAUGGCAAGAUCCUACUUCACGUUUCUCACUGGGACAAUACAUGUGGAUCUCAGGUUUCUCUUUCCUUUGUGGUAUUCUGUCUCUUUUGCUUCUCUGGGUAUGUUGUUGCCCAGGAUAUGUUGAAACUGAGCUAAGUUUUUGCUGGUUUGAAGGUACUAAAGGUUUGCCUGUGUUUUUAUAGAUCAAGGAACUGCUGGAGAGGGACCCGAGAGCCAGUCGUAGAGGCUGACACAGUCUAUAAUACUCUAUCUGAUAAUAACUGGAUUAUAGCUCCACAAUUCCAACAAAGAAACACAAGCAGUAUGAAAAUAUACUCUUGACAUCAAACAGAAGAAAUCCUGGAAGCUCUAGCAGUAAAAGAAAAAAAAAAUGUUUUAAGCCACCAUUGAAAUUCAUGGGCAAAGUACUCCAUGCUAAUGGACCAGACCUAUCACCUCAUGAGAUGUCAGAGGCAAACAAAAACAUAGCUAAUCACAUCGUUAUCCCUUGUGUGAGCUGGUCAAAGCAAAAAAAGCAAAAAAAAAAUCAGAUGAGUGGCAGCCCUUACCUAGAGAAGAAUGCAGUCAGAAUAGCUGCAAUAUGCUACAGUGGAAUAUAUGACAAGGAUAGAGAACCUAGAAAACCACUGCAAAUUAUGGCCAAUGCUAAUGGCAGAUACAGUAAAUGCAGCUGAAGGAUAUGCUGUGGACUGUGUGCCUUUUUGCUGCCUCUAUUUUAGGAUGAUCAGAUCUCUCACAGAUUACUGCUUGGAAAUACCUGUGAUCUCAAGAUAUCAUGAUGGAAGAGGUAACCUGCUGCACGGUUUUGAAAACCCUUGAUGGAUCAUGUGAGUGGUUCUAGAGAAGAGCUGUACUGUCGAGGAAAUGGGGAUGAUGUAGCUCACCUGUAUCUCCCAAGGGGAAGGUGGAAGAGGAGAGCUCUAUAUUGACACUACUUAAUGCAGCCUUUGAGCUUCUUGAUUGCUCUGUACUGUCAACAAGAUGGUUCUGGACCUUAGAAAUGAAAAAAAAAAAAAAAAAGUUUUCUGGCCCUGCCCUUUUCUCCACCUCUCCAGUCAGCAGAAGGAAAAGGACUGUGUGCCAUGGGAUACAUUUGGAGGAGCAAGAAGAUCUAUUG